rnacentral:rRNA from 1 species
UAUCAAUAAGCGGAGGAAAAGAAACCAACAGGGAUUGCCCUAGUAACGGCGAGUGAAGCGGCAACAGCUCAAAUUUGAAAUCUGGCUUCGGCCCGAGUUGUAAUUUGUAGAGGAUGUUUUUGGCGCGGUGCCUUCCGAGUUCCCUGGAACGGGACGCCACAGAGGGUGAGAGCCCCGUAUGGAAGGUUACCAAGCCUGUGUAAAACUCCUUCGACGAGUCGAGUAGUUUGGGAAUGCUGCUCUAAAUGGGAGGUAAAUCUCUUCUAAAGCUAAAUACUGGCCAGAGACCGAUAGCGCACAAGUAGAGUGAUCGAAAGAUGAAAAGCACCUUGAAAAGGGGGUUAAACAGUACGUGAAAUUGUUGAAAGGGAAGCGCUUGUGACCAGACUUGCGCCGGGCGGUUCAGCUGGGGUUCUCCCCAGUGUAUUCCGUCCGGUUCAGGCCAGCAUCGGUUUUCUUUGGGGGAUAAGAACAGUAGGAAUGUGGCUCAGCUUCGGGUGAGUGUUAUAGCCUACUGUACGAUACCCUGGAGGGGACCGAGGACCGCGCUUCGGCAAGGAUGCUGGCGUAAUGGUUACUAGCGACCCGUCUUGAAACACGGACCAAGGAGUCGUCCAUUAGAGCGAGCGUUUGGGUGUUAAACCCGCACGCGUAAUGAAAGUGAAAUUAGGUGAGAGCUUCGGCGCAUCAUCGACCGAUCCUGAUGUAUUCGGAUGGAUUUGAGUAAGAGUUUUAACGGACGGACCCGAAAGACAGUGAACUAUGCUUGUAUAGGGUGAAGCCAGAGGAAACUCUGGUGGAGGCUCGCAGCGGUUCUGACGUGCAAAUCGAUCGUCAAAUAUGAGCAUGGGGGCGAAAGACUA